UUCAGCUUUAACUUACACUCUUGACCUGUGCUUGGUGGUGUGAACAGCGCUUGGCUCCGCGUUCUACGAAUACGAGGUCUUUCCUAAGUACUAACGUACCUAACCUACCCCAAAUUGUUUUUGUCUGGUUUCUCCUCUGUGGCGUUCCUAUUACCAUUUGUUUACAAUCUGUGUUUGUGUUUCCUAUUUGUAUAUAACACCUUAACCUCAAAUUUUUAAAAGUCAGGAAAAAAUGCUACCAUCUCACGCAAAUGUCAGCGGCCCUGAUAUGGUUUAGAACCAGAUUACAUCACGGUCGCCAACAAAUAGUGCUGGCGAAUCGCCUCGUAGCGAAGCCAUAAAAAAAGAGAAGAAGAAGAAGCUUUAACUUAACCUAACAUAUAAUCAAGACCAAGAUGAUUUUCUCGAUUUUAUUUCCAUUUUGGAAGAAGGAAAUAAAGAAAACAUUGAUUAUGGUGAAAAAGUUUACUGGAGAACUUGAACAAGAGUUACAGAUAUGACAAACAUCUAGAAGAUUCAAUCCUGCGUUCUUAAAGAAAAAAGCUAGUUCCAGUAGUAAGCUACCAAUAAUAAACUAGAGAAUGUAUUACAAGAAAGAACAACGCUAAUACUAAACAUACCUCAAUUGCUUCAGAUAGAAAAAGAGGACGAAAAGGUACAACACAAGCGUGCUAGAGAAAAUGAAAGGGCAGAAGAGAGACACAAAAAUUCAUUGAUUUAUUAAAUUUAAAAAUUUAAUUAUACAAAGGACAAUUAAAUAAAGAAUAAAAAAAUGA